GCCAGGUGUGGUGGCUCACGCCUGUAAUCCCAGCACUUUGGGAGGCUGAGGCGGGUGGAUCACCUGAGGUCAGGAGUUCGAGACCAGCCUGGCCAAUAUGGUGAAACCCCGUCUCUA
rnacentral:SRP_RNA from 1 species